UACGUAGGUGGCAAGCGUUGUCCGGAAUUAUUGGGCGUAAAGCGCGCGCAGGCGGUCCUUUAAGUCUGAUGUGAAAGCCCACGGCUCAACCGUGGAGGGUCAUUGGAAACUGGGGGACUUGAGUGCAGGAGAGAAGAGUGGAAUUCCACGUGUAGCGGUGAAAUGCGUAGAGAUCCGGAGGAACACCGACGGCGUAGGCAGCGCCCUGGACGACACCUGACGCUGAGGCACGAAAGCUGGGGGAGCGGAACAGG
rnacentral:rRNA from 1 species